rnacentral:misc_RNA from 1 species
UCACAUCUUGCGAUGGCAGUCCCGACAGAGUGCCCGGCAUGACCCGAUGGCAACUGACGGCAGGGGUUGCGCUCGUCAUGGCACUUAAGCCGACACCUCACGGCACGAGCUGACGACAACCAUGCAGCACCUCGACAUUCUGUCCGAAGACGGAUAUCAUCUCUGAUUACCUUCAGAAUGCCGUUCGAGCCUGGGUAAGGUUCCUCGCGUAUCAUCGAAUUAAACCACAUGUUCCUCCGCUUGUGCGGGCCCCCGUCAAUUCCUUUGAGUUUCACCGUUGCCGGCGUACUCCCCAGGUGGGAUACUUAACGCUUUCGCUAAGCCACCGACAUUGUAUCGCCGGCAGCGAGUAUCCAUCGUUUACUGUGUGGACUAC